AAGAGCUGCUUCAAGCCAGGAAGCGCCCAGGCUGCAGAAGCUCCUUGCAGAUUUGGGGGCCUGGUAGCACAGAGGGGUGUGGAGGUCGCAGCCUGGUGAUGUAUGCAAAUCACACUGUCGUGGGGCCACUCAGAUGCAUCCUGGGGACAGUGCCAAGAGGCAUUUUGUGUUACCAGGCCAUGGGCAGUGUUCCCUGAGACAGGAAUUCUCCAGGGCAGAGAUGGGGCUGCAGAGAGGCUUGUUCAACCCUACUAAAGACUUUCAGGUUAAAGAUGACCAGCAGUGCCCUCGAGGAUGUUAGUAAAUAGAUUCAUGUCUUGUAGCUUUGUUCCCACCGCCUUGUACCUACUUGAGACAUCUUGUGUGAGUCUGGAUAAAAGCUUCAUGUUUUUCAAAAGUCCCCAUCUGCAUUAAAAGUGCACAAUGUCUCUUAUAGCAUCCAUCAAUUCAAAAGAAGUUUUCAAAUGUUUGCUGUGGGUAUGGAGCCUUGAAAAGCUGUAUUGUUUUAUCCAGGAAGACACUGAACUCGGGGUCUGGCAACUUGCCUGAGGCCACUCAGCCAGCCAGGGAAGGAGGCCCGAGAACCCAAAUGUGAUGGCCAAAAAAAUCCAAUAAAAUUUUCCACUCAUAAACUUUGACAGACCCCAGGAUGGUCUGAAAUGAACAUCCACUAUGGAGAAUCAAUUAAGAGAAGAGAGGGCCAAGCAUAAGAAUGUCAGGUAUGGAAAAUCCAUCUCAUGGCAAAGGAGAGGAUAGUCAUUGAUUUCUGAAAUUCUGAAGCAGUGCUUUUUCAUUACAGAAAAUCUGGAAGUAAAACCACCAGAAUGUAUCAAGAAGGGAUUUUCAGGUAUUUACAUUUCCAUCACAAGGAUGAAGCCCAGAUUCCCCCAUGACCCUUUCUGCUCAUUGGAGAGUGUUACUAGGAAUGAUACAGGAGGCUAUGGCUCUCAGCUGGUUUUCUGGAAUUCACGUAUUAUCUGAGUACUGGGCAUGCGUUCAGAAUUAUCAUUUUACCACUAUGACUACAACUUUCGCGAUUUUGGUUUUUUUUGUUUUUUUUUUGAGCCAAGUUCUCACAAAGUUAUCCAGCAGGCUGCCCUCAAAUUCUCCAUCUUCUCACUGUAGCCUCCUGAGUUGCUGGAAUUUCAGCUGUGUAUCACCACACCUGGCUUGACUGUCAUGUUUUCAAAAAUCGUAUACAAGGACAACAAAAAUGCCUCAAACCCCAUAGAUGCCAAUCUUAACAAAAGAAGGCUUUAAGGGUUGAAAUACAUCUUCCAUAAGAAGGCAUAUUAACAUCCUAAUCCCCAGUGUGAUCUUACUUGGAAAUAAAGCCAUGGCAGAUUAACCAGUGAAGAAGAAACCACUAGGUGGGUGCUCUCCUGAUGUGACUGUGUCCUUGUACAAAGUUCCUUGGAUGGACUCAUGCAAAGAGAAUAUGCAUGUAGAUGGCCAUGUGGCCACAGAAGCAAAAGUCAGACUGAUACAGCUGUGACCCAAAGAGAGUAGGAUUGUUGGCUACCAUCACAAGCCAGGAAGAUGAGUGGAAGAAUUUAGUCCCAGAUUGGCUGGUGCCAAGGGAGGCUGUGGCUGAACAAAGAUGCACCCAGUAAGCAGAGAGGGGGAGCCAUGCAAGAGAGGAGGGAUGAGGGACCACAUAUAGUUCCCUAGGUCACAUCUCAGUGACCCACCCAGACACACCCAGAGGUGUUCUCCAUAAUCCUUUAGACAGCUCCUAACCCAAUGAAUUUGACCCAGUUGGGCUUAAACUUCAGUUUUUAAUGGAGCGGUCAGAGAAUAUAGACAUAAAAAUUUGGACGUUUUCUCUGUGUUUUCACUGUGUCCACUUUUUCUUUUUUGGGGGGGAGCGCACACAGGAAAUUAUUUUUUGAGUUUCCUUAGUGGUAAAUUGGUGACUAGAGCCUUUGGCCAGGCCCAGUCCUUUAAAAUCCUUAUCACAAUUUCUCCUCUGCCACUGGGACCUCAGGGGCCAUGUUGUCCACAUGGCAUAGAUACAAGAUGGAGGAAAGGCUGCUGGUCCUCAGUGAACCUCACCUGCAUGAGAAACAAACUUCACUUGUAUUAUGCUGAGAUGUUGGGCUUUGUCUUUGCUGAGAGAAUCUUGUCUUAUCCUUACUGUUACCCUGCCUGAAAUUAUAACAUCACUGAUGCUAGUGGGCAGACAUAUUCAAAGAAGUCCACACGUUGAGAUCUAUCUCCUCUUCCCACCAUGUUCUUGCAGAUUAGAGAAAAUGCAGUUAGUGAUUAUGGGCUUGGGCCGAGGAAUUCAAAGUCUUGGAUUUUAAGAUACACUGUGUAGCUAUGUAGUUCUGGGAAAGUUCCCCACCUACUCAGAACCUCAGUUAGUUCAUGCGUAAAGUGAAGUGCUAGUUGGUCCAGUGAAUAAGGAAGAUGAGGACACACUGUGAUGUUUUUAUGAGCCUACCUUUCCAUUGGACAACAUGCAGCAGCAGUCACUGCAUUUUUGAUCAAA